rnacentral:tRNA from 1 species
AAGGUGGCUGAGUAAUUAGGCAUUAGAUUGUAAAUUUAAUUACGAGUUUUAAACUCUCUUAUUA